rnacentral:rRNA from 1 species
CCUACGGGAGGCAGCAGUGGGGAAUAUUGGACAAUGGGCGGAAGCCUGAUCCAGCAACGCCGCGUGAGGGAUGACGGCCUUCGGGUUGUAAACCUCUUUCACCAUUGACGAAGCUGCAUCUUUUGUGGGUGUGGUGACGGUAGGUGGGGAAGAAGCACCGGCCAACUACGUGCCAGCAGCCGCGGUAAUACGUAGGGUGCGAGCGUUGUCCGGAAUUAUUGGGCGUAAAGGGCUCGUAGGCGGUUUGUCGCGUCGGGAGUGAAAUCAUCUGGCUUAACUGGGUGCUUGCUUUCGAUACGGGCAGACUAGAGGUAUGCAGGGGAGAACGGAAUUCCUGGUGUAGCGGUGAAAUGCGCAGAUAUCAGGAGGAACACCGGUGGCGAAGGCGGUUCUCUGGGCAUGAUCUGACGCUGAGGAGCGAAAGUGUGGGGAGCGAACAG